rnacentral:rRNA from 1 species
CCUACGGGUGGCAGCAGUGGGGGAUAUUGCACAAUGGCGGAAACUCUGAUGCAGCAACGCCGCGUGAGGGAAGAAGGUCUUCGGAUUGUAAACCUUAGUAGUCAGGGACGAAAAAAAUGACGGUACCUGAAGAGUAAGCUCCGGCUAACUACGUGCCAGCAGCCGCGGUAAGACGUAGGGGGCAAGCGUUACCCGGAAUUACUGGGCGUAAAGGGGGCGUAGGCGGUAAAAGAAGUCAUCUGUGAAAACCUAUUGCUCAACGAUAGGCUAGCGGAUGAAACUGAAUUACUUGAGGGCACCAGAGGUAGACGGAAUUACCCGAGUAGGGGUGAAAUCCGCAGAUACGGGUAGGAACGCCGGUGGAGAAGUCGGUCUACUGGGGUGCACCAGACGCUGAGGCCCGAAAGCUAGGGGAGCAGACCGGAUUAGAUACCCUAGUAGUC